rnacentral:rRNA from 1 species
AGUGAACGCUGGCGGUAGGCCUAACACAUGCAAGUCGAACGGCAGCACAGUAAGGGCUAGCUCUUACGGGUGGCGAGUGGCGGACGGGUGAGGAAUACAUCGGAAUCUACUUUUUCGUGGGGGAUAACGUAGGGAAACUUACGCUAAUACCGCAUACGACCUACGGGUGAAAGCAGGGGAUCUUCGGACCUUGCGCGAUUGAAUGAGCCGAUGUCGGAUUAGCUAGUUGGCGGGGUAAAGGCCCACCAAGGCGACGAUCCGUAGCUGGUCUGAGAGGAUGAUCAGCCACACUGGAACUGAGACACGGUCCAGACUCCUACGGGAGGCAGCAGUGGGGAAUAUUGGACAAUGGGCGCAAGCCUGAUCCAGCCAUACCGCGUGGGUGAAGAAGGCCUUCGGGUUGUAAAGCCCUUUUGUUGGGAAAGAAAAGCAGCAGGUUAAUACCCCGCUGUUCUGACGGUACCCAAAGAAUAAGCACCGGCUAACUUCGUG